AUUCCCCUAGUAACUGCGAGUGAAGCGGGAAAAGCUCAAAUUUAAAAUCUGGCAGUCUUUGAUUGUCCGAGUUGUAAUCUAGAGAAGUGUUAUCCGCGUUGGACCGUGUACAAGUCUCCUGGAAUGGAGCGUCAUAGAGGGUGAGAAUCCCGUCUUUGACACGGACUACCAGUGCUUUGUGAUGCGCUCUCAAAGAGUCGAGUUGUUUGGGAAUGCAGCUCAAAAUGGGUGGUAAAUUCCAUCUAAAGCUAAAUAUUGGCGAGAGACCGAUAGCGAACAAGUACCGUGAGGGAAAGAUGAAAAGAACUUUGGAAAGAGAGUUAAACAGUACGUGAAAUUGCUGAAAGGGAAACGCUUGAAGUCAGUCGCGUUGUCCGGGGAUCAACCUUGCUUUUGCUGGGUGUACUUUCCGGUUGACGGGUCAGCAUCAAUUUUGACCGUUGGAUAAAGUGUAAGGGAAUGUGGCAUCUUCGGAUGUGUUAUAGCCUUUGCUCGCAUACAACGGUUGGGAUUGAGGAACUCAGUACGCCGCAAGGCCGGGAAUUUAUUCUACGUUCGUACUUAGGAUGCUGGCAUAAUGGCUUUAAUCGACCCGUCUUGAAACACGGACCAAGGAGUCUAACAUGCCUGCGAGUGUUUGGGUGGAAAACCCGAGCGCGUAAUGAAAGUGAAAGUUGAGAUCCCUGUCGUGGGGAGCAUCGACGCCCGGACCAGACCUUUUGUGACGGAUCUGCGGUAGAGCAUGUAUGUUGGGACCCGAAAGAUGGUGAACUAUGCCUGAAUAGGGUGAAGCCAGAGGAAACUCUGGUGGAGGCUCGUAGCGAUUCUGACGUGCAAAUCGAUCGUCAAAUUUGGGUAUAGGGGCGAAAGACUAAUCGAACCAUCUAGUAGCUGGUUCCUGCCGAU
rnacentral:rRNA from 1 species